AGCUUUGCGCAGUGGCAGUAUCGUAGCCAAUGAGGUUUAUCCGAGGCGCGAUUAUUGCUAAUUAAAUAUAUACAUAUGAAAAGAUUAAAAUUUCAAAAAAGAAGGUACAAAAUAGUAGUUGUCACUUAUCAUGGUGA